GUAGUCCUGGCUGUAAACGGUGCACGUUUGCUGUAAGAGGAAUCGACCCCUUUUGUGGCGAAGCUAACGCGCUAAACGUGCCGCCUGGGGAGUACGGUCGCAAGAUUAAAACUCAAAGAAAUUGACGGGGGCCUGCACAAGCGGUGGAGUAUGUGGCUUAAUUCGAUGCAACGCGAAGAACCUUACCUGGCCUUGACAUGCACGUAGUAGGAGCCUGAAAGGGUAACGAACCCGCAAGGGAAGCGUGCACAGGUGCUGCAUGGCUGUCGUCAGCUCGUGUCGUGAGAUGUUGGGUUAAGUCCCGCAACGAGCGCAACCCUUGUGUCCUGUUGCCACCCGGUCGAGAGACUGGAGCACUCUGGACAGACUGCCUCGCUUAAACGAGGA
rnacentral:rRNA from 1 species